AUUGAACGCUGGCGGCAGGCCUAACACAUGCAAGUCGAACGAGUGGCGGACGGGUGAGUAAUGUCUGGGAAACUGCCCGAUGGAGGGGGAUAACUACUGGAAACGGUAGCUAAUACCGCAUACCAUCGGAUGUGCCCAGAUGGGAUUGGCUAGUAGGUGGGGUAACGGCUCACCUAGGCGACGAUCCCUAGCUGGUCUGAGAGGAUGACCGCCAAAACUGGAACGGAGACAGGGUCCAGACUCCUACGGGGGGCAGAAGUGGGAAUUAUUGGAAAAGGGGCGCAAGCCUGAUGCAGACAGGCCGCGUGUAUGAGGAGGGCCUUGGGGUUGUAAGGUACUUUCAGCGAGGAGGCGUUACCCGCAGAGGAAGCGCCGGCUAACUCCGUGCCAGCAGCCGCGGUAAUAC
rnacentral:rRNA from 1 species